CCAUCAAAGCCUCAGCGCCCCCUGCAGGGAAGCAGGUUAACAACCGGUUCCAAAACUGCUUCAAAAUUUAACCACCGGUUCACGCGAACCGACUCCAGCUAACCACUGCUUGUGAUACAGGACACCGGACCGCU